CCUACGGGAGGCAGCAGUGAGGAAUAUUGGUCAAUGGACGAGAGUCUGAACCAGCCAAGUAGCGUGAAGGAUGACUGCCCUAUGGGUUGUAAACUUCUUUUAUAAAGGAAUAAAACGAGGCACGUGUGCCUUUUUGCAUGUACUUUAUGAAUAAGGAUCGGCUAAAUCCGUGCCAGCAGCCGCGGUAAUACGGCGGAUCCGAGCGUUAUCCGGAUUUAUUGGGUUUAAAGGGAGCGUAGAUGGGUUGUUAAGUCAGUUGUGAAAGUUUGCGGCUCAACCGUAAAAGUGCAAUUGAUACUGGCAGUCGUGAGUACAGUUGAGGUAGGCGGAAUUCGUGGUGUAGCGGUGAAAUGCUUAGAUAUCACGAAGAACCCCGAUUGCGAAGGCAGCUUACUAAACUGUGACUGACAUUGAUGCUCGAAAGUGUGGGUAUCAAACAGGAUUAGAUACCCUUGUAGUC
rnacentral:rRNA from 1 species